CUUGAGGGUGCCGAGCCACAACGGCCGCCGCGCGUCCCGCCCUUGGCCGUACGUCGCGAGCAGCGCCCGCGCCUC
rnacentral:antisense_RNA from 1 species